rnacentral:rRNA from 1 species
GACGUAGGGCGCGAGCGUUGUUCGGAAUCAUUGGGCGUAAAGCGCGUGUAGGCGGUCAAGUAAGUCUUGUGUGAAAUCCCUGGGCUCAACCGAGGAAGUGCAUGGGAAACUACUUGGCUUGCAGACGGUAGAGGAAGGUGGAAUUCCAAGUGUAGAGGUGAAAUUCGUAGAUAUUUGGAGGAAUACCGGUGGCGAAGGCGGCCUUCUGGACCGAUCUGGACGCUGAGACGCGAAAGCGUGGGGAGCAAACAGG